GUGCUGUCCAAAAUCCAAUCGUUGUCCAAAAUACGUCCAAAAUCUAAGUGCUGUCCAAAAAUAAGUCCAAAAUCUAAGUGCUGUCCAAAAUCCAAUCGUCCAAAAAUACGUCCAAGAUCCAAUCACUGUCCAAAAAUACGUCCAAAAUCCAAUCACUGUCCAAAAUCUAAGCGUUGUCCAAAAAUAUGUCCAAAAUUGGUGUUGUCCAAAAUCCAGUCAUUGUCCAAUUGUUCUUAAGAGCAAGUCCAAAAAUAGUCAAUACAGAUUAGACACGAAGUGAAAAUGCGUGUAAAGCCCGUAUUCGGAGGGCGGGAUUAGUUUCUCGAGUGUAACGUUGUUAUUCCCGGAGGAUCUCGAUGAUGUGUAUUGUUUCCGAUGUCCUCUCUGACCUCGCCUCCUCCGGGAGAGAACUCUGCGGGGUCGGUUUUAGCGCUAAAGCCUUUUGGGGGUUUGGGUUGUGAUUUAGAAUGUUCAGCCGCUGAUGCUCCAGUAACAGUUUAUUUCGAUAGAAGGGUGUGUCUGUGGGCUUUUCCACACCAGACUGGGGAAAUAACCUGCGUGCAGUCGAUCAGCGGACACUCGACCGUAUCGUUUCUGCACGUUCGCUCGGUUUGUGUGUUUGCGGUUGGAACCGUGACGUGUGUUCAUGCAGUUCCACUUCUGAGUUGAUUUUCAUUUUUAAAAAGUGCAUUUUCUCACCUCGCCAGCAUCUGAUGCUUUGGUUGCCAUCGUUACGCGUGAACUCCGUCCGGAACAGAGUGGUGUUUAUGAUCCGAAAGAUGUUUUUGAGAGCCAUGAAAUCUCCCGUCGGGCUUCAUUCGUCCCUUUGUUGUUGUGUGUAAAUGUUCGCGUAAGGCAAACGGAACAAAAAUCUUCCGCCGGAUUUCGAAAAGUUUCUAAACGCGUUCCUGAUGCGGCUCGUUUGCAUGUAGCGACGCCCACAAACCUCCAUAAAAGGUCAUGCGCGCGCACAGCUGGAAGCACGGAAUGAGAGAUCAGGGUGAAGGCUGGGAGGCGGAACUGGAAGUCGCUUCUACGCCACCGAGGCGUCUGUUGACAGCUCUGCGCAGCGUUACUACCUCACGUGACCUCGUAACCACGUCGUGUUGCACGUCUGAACGGAUAUUCGAACGAGCUAGUUCAUAUUAAAUGCGGAAAUACUGAGGGAAACUAAACCGAGAGGGAAAUGACGCCUCUCUUUAUUUGCUCUGUCCCAGGAGUGAUGCUCAGUGGACGUCGUGACGGUUUAAUGAUUAGAUUCGAUCGGAUUAGAUCAGACGGAGUGCGUGUUGGAAUUUCUGUGCCGUUUUAGUUUAGUUCAGUUUGAUCUAGUUGAUGUGAACACCGCACCUGUACUCGGGUGCGCACCAAAAAACCAUUCCCAGGGUCUCGGUGCUCGUCUGUGUGACGCGGUCACCGGUGGGAGGAGUUUCACCAUGACGCCGUGAAAGUGACCGUUUUUAUCGUCAUGACGAUGUAAAUCCCGCUUUGUUUGUUUGUUUGUUUGUUUGUUUGUUUGCUAUGCACAAGGUGGGAUGAAUCGGGUCCAAAAUUUCUCCAAGACCCAAACCUUUGGGUCCGAACCCAAACCUGUCGUUCCGUCUCUUUCAUUCUUUUCUUCUUGCUUUCUGCACGUUUCGGUGUCUCUCUCUUUCCAUUCCGUUUCCCUCCCUUUUCUGUCUCCGUUUCCUUUCUGCGUCUGUUUUAUUUCCUUUUUCUUUCAUUUUUCCUUUCUUCUUUCCGUUUCCUUUUUCCUUUUCUGUUUCGCGACUUUUUCUUCCCGUCUUUCGUUCUCUUUCGAUCCUUUCGUUUUUUUCUUUCUUUAAUUUAUUUUUCAUUUCUGCGUCCAUCUACCCUCUUUCUUUCUGUAUCCCAUUUUCAUUUUUCUUUGUGCACCUGUCUGUCUGUCCUUUUUCUUUUUUCUUUCUGUCUUUUACUUUCUGCACCCGACCGUCCGCUUGCUCUCUUCGCCUUUCUGUCUUCGUCCGUCUUUCUUUUUCCCUUCUUUUGCAUGUGAUUUUCCUUCCUGUGACUUUUCUUUCUUUCCG
ensembl:lncRNA